GACGAACCGUGCGAACGUUAUUCGGAAUCACUGGGCUUAAAGCGUGCGUAGGCGGCUCAGAAAGUUGGGUGUGAAAUCCCUCGGCUCAACCGAGGAAUUGCGCCCAAAACUACUGGGCUUGAGGGAGUUAGAGGUGAGCGGAACUCACGGUGGAGCGGUGAAAUGCGUUGAUAUCGUGAGGAACACCGGAGGCGAAAGCGGCUCACUGGGGCUUCACUGACGCUGAGGCACGAAAGCUAGGGGAGCAAAC
rnacentral:rRNA from 1 species